rnacentral:rRNA from 1 species
UGGGGAAUAUUGGACAAUGGGCGAAAGCCUGAUCCAGCCAUGCCGCGUGUGUGAAGAAGGUCUUCGGAUUGUAAAGCACUUUAAGUUGGGAGGAAGGGCAGUAAAUUAAUACUUUGCUGUUUUGACGUUACCGACAGAAUAAGCACCGGCUAACUCUGUGCCAGCAGCCGCGGUAAUACAGAGGGUGCAAGCGUUAAUCGGAAUUACUGGGCGUAAAGCGCGCGUAGGUGGUUUGUUAAGUUGGAUGUGAAAGCCCGGC